AGACGAAGGGAGCGAGCGUUGUUCGGUAUCACUGGGCUUAAAGGGCGCGUAGGCGGCCAGAUGGGUCGGUUGUGAAAUCCCUGGGCUCAACCCAGGAAUGGCUUCCGAAACUAUUUGGCUUGAGGCAUUCUGGGGGCGACUGGAACUCUUGGUGGAGCGGUGAUAUGCGUAGAUAUCAAGAGGAACGCCAGUGGUGAAGACGGGUCGCUGGGAAUGUCCUGACGCUGAGGCGCGAAAGCUAGGGGAGCGAACGGGAUUAGAAACCCUAGUAGUCC
rnacentral:rRNA from 1 species